rnacentral:rRNA from 1 species
AUUGAACGCUGGCGGCAGGCCUAACACAUGCAAGUCGAGCGCGCGGCGGACGGGUGAGUAAUGUCUGGGAAACUGCCUGAUGGGGGGGGAUAACUAUUGGAAACGGUAGCUAAUACCGCAUACCAUCAGAUGUGCCCAGAUGGGAUUAGCUAGUAGGUGGGGUAACGGCUCACCUAGGCGACGAUCCCUAGCUGGUCUGAGAGGAUGACCAGCCACACUGGAACUGAGACACGGUCCGGACUCCUACGGGAGGCAGCAGUGGGGAAUAUUGCACAAUGGGCGAAAGCCUGAUGCAGCAAUGCCGCGUGUGUGAAGAAGGCCUUCGGGUUGUAAAGCACUUUCAGCGGGGAGGCGUUACCCGCAGAAGAAGCACCGGCUAACUCCGUGCCAGCAGCCGCGGUAAUUC